rnacentral:rRNA from 1 species
CCUACGGGAGGCAGCAGUGGGGAAUAUUGCACAAUGGGGGAAACCCUGAUGCAGCAACGCCGCGUGAAGGAAGACGGUUUUCGGAUUGUAAACUUCUGUUCUUAGUGAAGAAUAAUGACGGUAGCUAAGGAGCAAGCCACGGCUAACUACGUGCCAGCAGCCGCGGUAAUACGUAGGUGGCAAGCGUUGUCCGGAAUUACUGGGUGUAAAGGGAGCGUAGGCGGGAUGCCAAGUCAGCUGUGAAAACUAUGGGCUUAACUUGUAGACUGCAGUUGAAACUGGUAUUCUUGAGUGAAGUAGAGGUUGGCGGAAUUCCGAGUGUAGCGGUGAAAUGCGUAGAUAUUCGGAGGAACACCGGUGGCGAAGGCGGCCAACUGGGCUUUAACUGACGCUGAGGCUCGAAAGUGUGGGGAGCAAACAGGAUUAGAUACCCGAGUAG